rnacentral:rRNA from 1 species
CGAAAGCCUGACGGAGCAAGACCGCGUGAGGGAGGAAGGCUCUUGGGUUGUAAACCUCUUUUCUCAGGGAAGAAGCUCUGACGGUACCUGAGGAAUCAGCAUCGGCUAACUCCGUGCCAGCAGCCGCGGUAAUACGGAGGAUGCAAGCGUUAUCCGGAAUUAUUGGGCGUAAAGCGUCCGUAGGCGGUUUAUCAAGUCUGUCGUUAAAGACUGCAGCUUAACUGUGGGCAAGCGGUGGAAACUGAUUAACUAGAGUGUGGUAGGGGUAGAGGGAAUUCCCAGUGUAGCGGUGAAAUGCGUAGAUAUUGGGAAGAACACCAGUGGCGAAAGCGCUCUGCUGGGCCGCAACUGACACUCAGGGACGAAAGCUAGGGGAGCG